rnacentral:rRNA from 1 species
GUCCAUGCCGUAAACGAUGUCUACUAGCCGUUGGGGCCUUUGAGGCUUUAGUGGCGCAGCUAACGCGAUAAGUAGACCGCCUGGGGAGUACGGUCGCAAGACUAAAACUCAAAUGAAUUGACGGGGGCCCGCACAAGCUGUGGAGCAUGUGGUUUUAAUUCGAAUGCAACGCGAAGAACCUUACCUGGUCUUGACAUAGUAAGAACUUUUCCAGAGAUGGAUUGGUGCCUUCGGGAGCUUACAUACAGGUGCUGCAUGGCUGUCGU